rnacentral:rRNA from 1 species
CCUGAGAAACCCAAAAGAUCGAAUGGGGAGAUUCAUCGUCAGCUCAUUUUGUAUAUAUAUGAGUUAUGAUGCGGGUUACUACUUGUAGUAUUGCUUGCACAUUCUUAUAUAUUUAGUUGCGAGAUGUUGUCGGCGUGCACUUCUCCCCUAGUAGGACGUCGCGACCCGUUGGGUGUCGGUCUACGGCCCGAGUGGUAGUCUUUAAUAUUUUAUUAUAUUAAAGUCCCUUGGUGUUUUCUGACCGGCUACUCGGCGGUACACGUACGGUAUUAAGCCGCAAUUAUUUGCGUCCAUUCCCGUCGCAAGCGAGGCCAAUUUCUGAUAGUACGGACCUAGUGCCGUCGUUGGUAUUGGCCAGCUGUUGGUUGUAACGGUGUUCUGGGACUGGCUUACAAUAAUUACCGGUCGGCGAUGCUACUGCUUUGGGUACUUUCAGG